UCGAGAAUCUUUCGCAAUGGGCGAAAGCCUGACGAAGCGACGCCGUGUGAGCGAAGAAGGCCUUCGGGUUGUAAAGCUCUUUCGCCAGGGAACAAGAGAGACGGGGUAAUACACCGUCGAUUUGAUGGUACUUGGUAAAGAAGCACCGGCUAACUCCGUGCCAGCAGCUGCGGUAAUACGGAGGGUGCAAGCAUUGAUCGGAAUUACUGGGCGUAAAGGGCGUGUAGGCGGUUGGGAAAGUCAGAUGUGAAAUUCCGGGGCUCAACCCCGGAGCUGCAUUUGAAACUUCCUGUCUAGAGUUCAGUUAGGGUAAACGGAAUUCCACGUGUAGCGGUGAAAUGCGUAGAUAUGUGGAAGAACACCAGUGGUGGAGACGGUUUACUGGGCUGAUACUGACGCUGAGGCGCGAAAGCAAGGGGAGCAAACAGG
rnacentral:rRNA from 1 species